ensembl:lncRNA
GGGGAUGGGCUUUGCUUAAAGUCUAGAUAGAACUGAUUUUGAAUGGGCUUCUUUGCCCAUUGCUAUGCUUUUUGCAUCAUAACUUUGUAACUUACGUGAUAAUUUAGCACCGAAGCUGAUGACAGGAAGACAAAUCAGGACUUUGUCUCUCCUUUCCUUCACUUACAAAUGGUAUGAAGACAUUCUCUGUGAUGUCUGUAUGACUGAAGGUAGCAGAAGGAGUAAAACUGGGAAAGUUGAAUACGUUCAAUGCACUUAAAGAAGCCUGGAAGUUAAUGACAUCAUUGGCAGACAGCUCUGGCCUCGUGCAUCUGGAGAUCCAAACAGCCCUGCUUGAUGCUGGCACAUUUUGGUGUGAGUGUCAGGACAUGGUGACCAUGAUGUGCUUGACCAAACUUGGUGCUGACAUUUGGGACCUGAGGAGGUGUCGGAGACCGGUAGAAGGGAGCUGACAUGACACCAGUGCCGCUCCCAGAGGACAUGCUACAACCUCUUGACAUGGAGCUUGCAGUAAGGAAGAACUGAACUCUCUGUGCAUCCUGCAGCAGAAGCACCCCAAGCUGCUGCCCACAGCUUUCUUUCUGCUCCCCUCCUGAGGUCUGAGGACUGUUCAAGAAAACAUCCAAUUCCCAAACUUCUGGCGAAUGCUUUUAUCACCCUUCAUUCUCUCUACCAGCUUACUUGCCCUUGAAAUUUGUCCACAGAGAAUGACUAAAAAUUUGCUCAUGAACUUAAAAAAUUGGCAUGAGACUUCCAUGGUUUAUGGGCAUGGUGGUGGUAGGCUAAUGGUUGGAUUAUAGGUCUUUUCCAACCUCAAUGAUUCUAUGAUUCAUGCUGCCAACACAAAGACCAACAAAGCUUACUGUGCUUGGAUACUGAAGAAAACUUCUUUUGGAGGAACCAUUUUGAGAAGCACCAUUUUGUUUCUACCCAGGUGGGCCCUUCCAGAGUUCCCAAGCACCCCCUUCCCCAGCUCAGUAAUGGAAAUGUACUGCAAUCAACUUCCCAACGUGUAACCUUAACUUUUUGAAGUGACGAGUCUUCUGCCCUUACACUGCCUUCAGCUUCUUUAGAUAAGGGAAGGAAGAAAGCAAAAGAUUAAUAAACCAUCUCCCGCUCCCAUAUGUUGAGAAACUAUGCUAGCAUUGACAACAGACUGGCCAAUAUUCAUAAUAAUCUUUUAUCUGGAUGGCAGUGAAAGUUUCCACUAGUCUUACUAAGCUUUUGGCUAUUCAUGUGUAUUGUAUGAAAGAAUCCAGAUUUAUCAAUGUCAAUCUGUAAAUUAGCAAUAAUUUCUGGUUUUGCGUUGGAAGAGUGGGGGUCAAGGGAAAAAAACACAGGUUUAAAGGAAGAUGGGAUUGUCUUCCUGCCAUUUUGUCUGUGUUUGAUUUCUUCAGCUCUGCGCUGCCUGGAAAUCAGUCCAAGAUGUUACAACAGAUGUCUGACAGCACUUCAGCUCGCUGCUUGAGAUCCGAGCAGUGCUGAGCUUGAAGUCAGCUGGUGGUAGCACUUGACCCAGGUUCAGUGAGCUCACCCCAGGGCUUACUGAGUGUGCUGUGAUUGCUGGGGAACACUAUCCAAGCAGAUGUUUAGCUGGCAAACUUGCCUCUCUCUGUUGUUCUGUCCCCUGUGAGAACAUGUGAAACACAGGAUGCUGGAUUUUCCUUGGGAGAGAAACAGGGCCGUGGGGAGAAGCGCUGGCUGGUGGUGGUAGCCAAAUGUUCCCACCAGGAAUUCAAACUGUCCCCCUGCACAUCUCAAAGCAAAACUGCAAGAUUUGGUCCACUGCCAGUCCUUCCAAGUUUCCGGCAUGGUCUGGUUUGUGACACGAGCUCUGCAAAACGUAUUCCAUAUGUUUGUUCCACCAGAAAUCCUAUUGGUUUGUGAUACCGCAACUGAGCUUGCUUGUGGACAUUUGAUCCCUGUCUGGGUAAGAUGAAGAUUCGCUCUACAAGGAAUUUUAAGUCAAAUGUUAGUUCCGCCUCAGCCUGGAUUAUAUAUGUGCUGACAAAAAUAAAUCUGACGUUUUAUUCCUGCCUUGAACAAUGUGAGGUUCCUCUUCAGGGAUUCCCGGAUUGUUCUUACCUAGUAAUUAAAUCUUCAUCAUGUUUUUGCCAAAAGCAGUAUGUUCAGCUCCCAAAGGGGGAUUAUUUCUUCUGUAUCCCUCCACUCCCCACACAAGAUCUCCCGGGGUCCAUCUGUACCUCCUCCUCCCUUUCAGCUACACUUGUCUCGUUAGUUGUUCGGCCCUGAUUCUGCAAGCUGAUGCCUGGAUCUGCUGUGCAUGAAAAAUCCCACAUCUAUAUCCUGCCAGGAGGCAUUUUGUUUCGCUCGCUUGGAGUCUAGGACAAGGUUUUCCCUCCCAUGAAUUAUGUGCUUUCUUGGCCAGGAACUACAGAUGCAGAUUUUUCCCGCUGGGGGCUGCCGAGGGGCUCUGGGCAGGAGCUCCGGGGAACUCAGGCUCCCCAUCCACCCCAGAGCUUUGCUUGACAGGGUGACAUUGGUUGUAUGGCUUCAGCCCUUGAAACGGCCAGCGUGGAAAACACGCAGGGAGACACAACGGGGUUAGAAGAAAAAUGUUUAUAAUGCCCUGGGCAUUUACUGUAUGUACAUAUGGGGUAUACAUAUGCAUAUGUGUAACAUUUGAUCAACAACAGUGAUUGUAGAGAAAUAAUCUACAUGAUGGCAAGAAAAAAUUAAGCUACAGUAGAGUCUUGCGAGGAAGAACAUUAGGAUGUGUACCCAUCCUUCUCUUGUUGAUUUUAGAAUACUUGGGGAGAGGAAUUUGGUUUAGUUCUUGUUGCCAGAUGUAUAUGCCCUGCAGAUGCCAGAAGGACCUCUUGGGAACUCCCACGCUCUCAUGAGCAGCUCCUGGUAUUGGUGACUGUGUGCAAUUUAGAGAACUCAUUCACUAAUUCCUUUUGUGCUUCUGACAUGAGUUGGUGAAAACAAACCAAAACAGUGGUUUCCAGUGAUCAAACCAGUGACCAGUGAAGGAAUAGAACUUCUUUUCUGAGUCAAAUGGUCCACAGUACAUGCUAGUGUUCAGCCUUAUGGCCUCAGCCAGAUUAUUUAAGUAAUUAUCAGGCAUGUUGCAAAGAAAAGCUCCCAUGACCAUUCUAAAAGAUCAGAAGCCUCCAAGAUGUGUAGGUGUUUCACAGCCAGUGAUAACUGAUUUUAUAUUUAGCUUCACUGUGAAAAUACUCUUGGAUUUUGUCCACCUGAAGUAACACAACAGUUCAGAUUUGCCUAGUUUGCAGUGUUUAGAACUAUAUUAGAAGCAAUUUGCCUAAUGACCAAUCUGAACCAUUUCCUUCAAUGACUCUUCUGGGGCAAGUCCACUGUAAACAGUUGCUGCCUUUGCUUUACCAGUGGUAUCGUCAAACCUCAAACCCCCUUGUACUAAGUAGGGCAUUCAACCACCUCACGUGCCUUUAAAAAUGGAAGUAACAUGACAACACUGGGACUUCCUUAGCUGUGUUCAGUUUUCACUCUGGCUAUCAGUCCUGCUCUAUUUGUCUUCCACCUGCGGACCACCAGU